AAAGGUCAUAAUGACAAACUGGCACACAGCCAGCAUGUGAGAAGGCACCAAGCACACAGGGAUCAGUACCCUGACACUGAAAAGAAGUUGUAGAAACUAUAAAACAAAUUGAAAUUAUACCGUUUCUUUGGAAGCUGUGAAAACCUUGCUUUCAGCUGCACUUCAAGUCCAAAACAAUCAUCCUUUUGCAGAUAAAUCAUGAAGCAGAAAAAUAGACUGUCUCCUUUGCAGUUGCUUGAGCUGCUACAAAAAUUCCACUGCUCUGGGUUUUCAACAUAAGAGCUGAAAUCCAGGAUUUGACAUGUAUGAACCACACUGGGAAUUAGACGAAAAUCGAGAGCGCUCUGAAAUAGUUUUUUUUCUUCCAGCUAUAAUUAUGUUUUCUGUACUAAGCCAUAAUAAAA